rnacentral:rRNA from 1 species
GACGAACGCUGGCAGCGUGCUUAACACAUGCAAGUCGAACGCUGAAGCUUGGUGCUUGCACUGGGUGGAUGAGUGGCGAACGGGUGAGUAAUACGUGAGUAACCUGCCCUUGACUCUGGGAUAAGCCUGGGAAACUGGGUCUAAUACUGGAUACGACAUGUCACCGCAUGGUGGUGUGUGGAAAGGGUUUUACUGGUUUUGGAUGGGCUCACGGCCUAUCAGCUUGUUGGUGGGGUAAUGGCUCACCAAGGCGACGACGGGUAGCCGGCCUGAGAGGGUGACCGGCCACACUGGGACUGAGACACGGCCCAGACUCCUACGGGAGGCAGCAGUGGGGAAUAUUGCACAAUGGGCGGAAGCCUGAUGCAGCGACGCCGCGUGAGGGAUGACGGCCUUCGGGUUGUAAACCUCUUUCAGCACGGAAGAAGCGAAAGUGACGGUACGUGCAGAAGAAGCGCCGGCUAACUACGUG